rnacentral:rRNA from 1 species
ACAUCCAGCGAACUUGGCAGAGAUGCCUUGGUGCCUUCGGGAACGCUGAGACAGGUGCUGCAUGGCUGUCGUCAGCUCGUGUUGUGAAAUGUUGGGUUAAGUCCCGCAACGAGCGCAACCCUUAUCCUUUGUUGCCAGCGAUUCGGUCGGGAACUCAAAGGAGACUGCCGGUGAUAAACCGGAGGAAGGUGGGGAUGACGUCAAGUCAUCAUGGCCCUUACGAGUAGGGCUACACACGUGCUACAAUGGCGCAUACAAAGAGAAGCGACCUCGCGAGAGCAAGCGGGACCUCAUAAAGUGCGUCGUAGUCCGGAUCGGAGUCUGCAACUCGACUCCGUGAAGUCGGAAUCGCUAGUAAUCGUGGAUCAGAAUGCCACGGUGAAUACGUUCCCGGGCCUUGUACACACCGCCCGUCACACCAUGGGAGUGGGUUGCAAAAGAAGUAGGUAGCUUAACCUUCGGGAGGGCGCUUACCACUUUGUGAUUCAUGACUGGGGUGAAGUCGUAACAAGGUAGGCGUAGCGAG